UACGUAGGGUGCGAGCGUUGUCCGGAAUUACUGGGCGUAAAGGGCGCGUAGGCGGCGUGGUAAGUCACUUGUGAAAUCUCUGAGCUUAACUCAGAACGGCCAAGUGAUACUGCUGUGCUAGAGUGCAGAAGGGGCAAUCGGAAUUCUUGGUGUAGCGGUGAAAUGCGUAGAUAUCAAGAGGAACACCUGAGGUGAAGACGGGUUGCUGGGCUGACACUGACGCUGAGGCGCGAAAGCCAGGGGAGCGAACGGG
rnacentral:rRNA from 1 species